rnacentral:misc_RNA from 1 species
UGCUCGCGCACCCAACUACAGACCACCUAUCCUUCUCAGUUGCUUCACGAGCAGAUUAAUGCUCGUUGACUGGUUCUGGGGCUUGUGUUGCGUACCUAAAUAGAAGGAAUUCUAGCGGGUUUGGUUAGAAUAUUGUUCGCGGCAUCUCUUUAAACGGGGAAGUCGUGAACACGUAAGCUGACACUUGUGAUCCUUGCGUCUAGGCAUUAAAAUUGUCUUGCUCGCUAAGGUGAAUAAGCUGCCGGUUGAGCUCUCGGAUGCGGAAAGAUUAUGGACGGUGACUCGAAGCAAUUCUGUCCCGCCAAAGCACGUUUGUCCUCGGGCAAAAGAUGACGGUCAAGACCUCGGCUGCUCUCUCUUUCCUAGCGUUUGUGGGAAUUAGCUCGGCUGCUCUCUCUUAC